rnacentral:rRNA from 1 species
UACGUAGGGGGCUAGCGUUGUCCGGAAUCAUUGGGCGUAAAGAGCGUGUAGGCGGUCCGGUAAGUCCGCUGUGAAAGUCGGGGGCUCAACCCUCGAAUGCCGGUGGAUACUGUCGGGCUAGAGUGUGGCAGAGGGGGGUGGAAUUCCACGUGUAGCAGUGAAAUGCGUAGAUAUGUGGAGGAACACCGAUGGCGAAGGCAGCCCCCUGGGUUAACACUGACGCUCAUGCACGAAAGCGUGGGGAGCAAACAGG